rnacentral:rRNA from 1 species
UCCUACGGGGGGCAGCAGUGGGGAAUAUUGGACAAUGGGCGAAAGCCUGAUCCAGCAAUGCCGUGUGUGCGAUGAAGGCCUGCGGGUUGUAAAGCACUUUCGUUGGGGAAGAAAUACUUGCAGCUAAUACCUGCAAGGGUUGACGUUACCCAAAGAAGAAGCACCGGCUAACUCUGUGCCAGCAGCCGCGGUAAUACAGAGGGUGCAAGCGUUAAUCGGAGUUACUGGGCGUAAAGGGCGCGUAGGCGGAUACUUAAGUCGGAUGUGAAAUCCCUGGGCUUAACCUAGGAAUUGCAUUCGAUACUGGGUAUCUGGAGUAUGGGAGAGGUAAGUGGAAUUCCCGGUGUAGUGGUAAAAUACGUAGAUAUCGGGAGGAACACCAGUGCGAAGGCGGCUUACUGGCCCAAUACUGACGCUGAGGCGCGAAAGCGUGGGGAGCAAACAGGAUUAGAUACCCCGGUAC